ACUUUAUCUAUCUCUAUACUUAUCAGCUUGCAUGUGUUUUUUCUCCUAGUAGUUGAAAUUAUACCUCCUACUUCGCUUGUUGUACCACUUUUAGGAAAAUAUCUGAUAUUUGCAAUGAUAUUAGUGUCAAUUAGUAUUUGUGUAACUGUCGUCGUUCUGAAUGUACACUUUCGUUCUCCACAAACUCACCGAAUGGCUCCCUGGGUGAAAAGUGUUUUCGUCAACUUACUUCCACAGUUUUUAUUUAUAAAGAGACCAAAAUACAACAUUGAAACAAGGUGAUACGUCAACCGUUAGGUGAACAAAACUAUAAUAUUCUGUAGCAACUGCUUCCAAAAGUAUAAAGAGGACAAUACAAAGGUUAUUACAUCAAAUAAUUUCAAGUAGUGUGGAAUGAAGACCGUCAUGUAACAUACCUUCAGAUAGAGGCAUGCCUAUGCAUUUCUCCCACCAGCAUACAUUCGAUAUUGCAUGAACACCUGGCCGUAAAAAAGGUUUGUUCUCGUUGGAUCCCGCACAAUUUGACAAUCGCUCAAAAAAAGGCUCGUGUGGAUUGUUGUAAAGAAAUGCUGAAAAAAUACGAUCGCUUCAAAAGACGUUUAUAAGAUCGUCACAGGUGACGAAUCAUGGUUCUAUGCGUAUGAGCCCGAAACAAAAAAACCACCGGCAAAAGAAAAAAAAAAACAAAAAAAAAAUCAUUUUCGUUGAUAAAUAUGCCUAUUUACAUUAUUAAGCCAGAAAUAUUUAUAGCAACCUACAUAAUGUGGGGGUUAAUAGCACAUUUUGAACACUUAAAGAGAUUUUCAACUGAAUUGUAUGUGAUAAAGUGUAGUUUUAGAAAAAUAAUCUUUUUACUUCUACUGCAUGAGCCUGAUUUAGAUAACAAUAGCGGAUUUCUAAACUGAUUUACGGAGUUUCUGACUGUGUUUAUUACUUUACGUGGUGAUAUCUUACAGUUUCGAACGAGACGAUCUCAUUUAAGUUGUGAGAAAACUGUCUUGGCAGUGCAUCCGCUCUUCCGGGCUUAUAAUAAAACUUAGGUGAAAAUUUUUCA